CGCAAUGGGCGAAAGCCUGACGGAGCAACGCCGCGUGAGGGAUGAAGGCCUCUGGGCUGUAACCCUCUUUUUCCAAGGAAGAAGAUCUGACGGUACUUGAGGAAUAAGCCACGGCUAAUUCCGUGCCAGCAGCCGCGGUAAUACGGGAGUGGCAAGCGUUAUCCGGAAUCAUUGGGCGUAAAGCGUCCGCAGGUGUCUUUGUAAGUCUGCCGUUAAAGCGUGGAGCUUAACUCCAUUUCAGCGGUGGAAACUACAAGGCUUGAGUGCGGUAGGGGCAGAGGGAAUUCCCGGUGUAGCGGUGAAAUGCGUAGAUAUCGGGAAGAACACCAGUGGCGAAGGCGCUCUGCUGGGCCUAUAUCUUGUUCUUUGCGGGAUGGUA
rnacentral:rRNA from 1 species